AUGGCGGAGGGGCAGGUUCUAGUAUUGGAUGGCCAAGGCCAUCUUCUGGGCUGCCAGGCAGCCAUUGUGGUCAAGCCGGUGCUGCUGGACCGGAAGGUGGUGGUUGUAUGCUGUGAAGGCAUCAACAUUUCUGGAAAUUUCUACAGAAACAAGUUAAAGUAUCUGGCCUUUCCCUGAAAGUGGAUGAGUACCAACCCCUCUCAAGGCCCUUCCCACUUCUGAGCCCCCAGCUGGAUUUUUGGCGUACUGUACGAGGUAUGCUGCCCCACAAGACCAAGAGAGGCCAGGCUGCCCUGAAAUGCCUUAAGGUGUUGGAUGGGAUCCCUCCACCCUAUAACAAGAAAAAGCAGAUGGGGGGGGGGGGGGUUCCACCCUCAAAGUUGUGCGGCUGAAGCCUACCAGAAAGUUUGCUUCCUAGAGCGUUUGACUCAUGAGGUCAGGUGGAAGUACCAGGCAGUGAUAGCCACUCUGGAGGAGAAAUAGAAAGAAAAGGCCAAGAUCCACUAUCAGAAGAAGAAGCAGCUCUUGAGGCAGAAAAGAAUGUGGAGAAGAAAAUCUGCAGGUUCACAGAGGUCCUCAAGACCAACAGACUCCUGGUGUGA